GUUAAGUUUAAGUUAAGGUGACAAGAAGUCCCUGGCUAUCCAGAUGAAGAAAAGUGAAGUCAUUCUAAAUUGGGUCAUAUCACUUAUUGUCUAACUCAGAGAAGCUGUGAUAAGAGAGGAGGGGCUAACAGCAGGAAUCUGAGACAGCAGGUCUCAACCAGACUCCUCCCCAGGUGGACAAGAACGAGUGAUCACUCCACCCAGAGGGAGAAAAUAGGGCGACCUCAGACUUCUCUAUAGCUAAAUUCAAUUCUAGAAACCAGAGUGGGGUGAGUGGGGCGAAGCCUUUAAAAUCUUCAAAAAGAAAGAAGUCAUGAGCCAUGAAAUCUGUCCUUCGGUGAUCAUCCAAGUUUAAGGACAGCAGAAUGCUUUUGAAUAUGCAAAGACCAAGGAAAUGUGGUUGUUGGGAGCCUUUCACAAACUACACAAAGACACAUUUUAGCCAGACCUAGUGUCCAAUGGAGGAAAUCCAGACAAAGGACCGUUGGGGUAUGUGAAAUUCAUUUUAAAAUUGGACUAAAAUUAAAACAAAAAACUUUCAAAAGUUUUUAGAUUAUAACAAAAAUGUAAGCCCUUGCAAAAUUCAAAUAGCAUAACAAGUUAGAAAGCAAGUCAGAAAUGGGUAGGUGAACCAAUAUUUUCAUCUUUUUUAGGAGUCUAAACAUAUUAUUCUUGUACAGCUAAUAUAAGAAAUAAUUCAAUAUGCAAAAACAUCAAUGAAAUGCAGGGAACACCAACACACAUAUGUAAUCCAUUAAAUCUGGACGAUAAAAGAGGAGAAAAGAAGUGAAAAGAUAGAAAUCCUGGCAUUGGCCACUGCAGAGUCUAGAAAGAACUGUCCAGAAAGAAGCAGAGGAUUGGGGGUCUUGCAUGAAAUUAUAGAUCUAAGCUAAAGAAGAUUUUCAUUCUGAAAAGCAGAAUGAAGAAAUAAGUUUUUCAGCAGAGACAUCGAAAGCAAAAGAAAGGUCAUAUAGUGAAAAGAAAAACAAGAAAUAAAAACAGAAAAUGCAACCUGAAACAAGAACGAGAAGCAGCAGUCGCAACCCAAACAUCGACUCUGAGAAGAGCAUUAAGUAAGGCUACAAAAGGCUCUUAGAACGACAAAGAAUUCAGUCUAUGGUAAAGUGACACAGUGCCCAAGUAAAAAAAAUCACAAGAAAUAAGAGGAGAAACAGGCUUAUUCUCGGUAGGAGAUUUCAACUCACCUCUAUCAGUCUAGUACACUGAUCAGGUAGAUCUCCUCUUCCCAUUUUUUUUAAUGUAAUAAAUUAUACAUCAAAGACAGAGAGUGAACUUUUGGGACAAUAUUAGUAUGUUCCACAUAUAACAGACUACAAGACAACCUCAGCAAAUGGCUAAAUAACUUGCCAUGCAGCAUAACUCGAAUAAUGUUAGGGAAAAACUAACAAAGGACCCUACAUCUGGAUAUUUUAAAACUCUGUCUUUAAUAAAACACUUGAGUCAAAGUGAAACUCAAAACCAGAACUCAAAACUCAAAACCAGGACUAAGUGAUAGAGAAUAGCAACAAUGAAAACUCUAACGGAAAAGCAGAACUUCCAAACUUCCGUGCAGGGCUCAUUGGCAAGAGCAAUGGAGAUUAUAUAAAGGCAUGUCUUUUUUAAUUCUGUCUUUCCACACCUAGGUUAUUCAUACUACACUAUAUUUGCAUGUGUGUGAAAUAAUGUUUGUACAAGUCUACUGGAGCAUUUUUGGUACUAAUCAAUGUUGGAACAAUUCCAAUUCCCUUUUUUGGGGGGGAUGGGGUUACCGCAGAUUGAACUCAGGGACACUUGACCACUGAGCCCCACCCCCAGCCCCAUUUUGUAUUUUAUUUAGAGACAGGGUCUCACUGAGUUGCUGAGCACCUCACUUUUAUUGAGGCUGGCUUUGAACUCGAGAUCCUCCUGCCUCAGCCUCCUGAGCCCCUGGGAUUCCAGACAGGCACCAUCACACCUGGCUUAAAUUUCCAUUCUUAAUGGACUGUGUAAUUAUGCUAUAUCCACAAUGGGGUAUUGUACAGCUGGCAAAAAGGUCAUAAAAUAUGCAAAUAUGAUUCUUGUCUAUAAGAUAAAUUCUCCAAAAUUAUCGAGUGAAAAAAGUUAAGAGAGGAAUAAGGUAGAUGGUGUGCUCGUAGCUGUAUUGGCGGAUGUUGUGGAAUGAACUGUGUUCCCCUGCCCCCCCCCAAAAAAAAAAUUCAUAAGUUGAAACCCUGACCACCAAUGGGACUGUAUUUAGAGAUACAGCCACUGAGAGGGUCAUUGACGUUAAAGAGGCAGGUCUCUAAUUCAAUAGGACACUAGAGAUAGACACUAGGGAUGUCCACAUAGAGAGAAAAGGCCACGCAAGGGCACAGCUGGAAAGCGGUCAUCAACAAGUCAAGGAGAGGGGACUCAAGAAAAACCAAACCUGCCAACACCCGAACUAUGACAGAUUUCUUUUGUUACCUCUAGCAAAUUGAUACCAAUUUUAGCCCUGGAGUGCCACUGUAAGAAAGUGGCUUUGAACUGGGUUCUACAAUCGCCAGUCGCCAGGGUGCCUCUGCGCUGGGGACUUGUGAGUGGCGACCGAGGAGCAAAGUGGCUUCUGCUCCGUUCUCUACAGGCAGGACAUGCAUUCUGAUUUUACUAUAGUCUCAGAGGCACCGACGUUUUUAUUUUUGGCUGGAGAUACCAGGGAUUGAACUCAGGGGCGCUGGACCACUGAGCCACAUCCCCAGUUGUGACAGAGCAGGCUGUGAGCCAGGAGCCAGCCCCCCUGGUGGUGGGCAUCUACCCUGCCCUGCAAGGUGUCUCUGGACUGAGUAGGGAUCAGCCACCCCGCGACCCCACUCGGGCCUCACGCGCCCCAAGGCAGAGGUACUGGCCUGUUUUGAAAGGCGGAUGCGAUGGUGAGGAUCCAGAACUCGCUGAGGAUGCAGCCGAACGCCAGGCGGUCUUCCACAUUAAAGAUGCUUGGUGGCAUCUUUGGACCGAAACGUCACAUCCGACAUUGAUGCUAAUGCUCAUUUAUUGAGCACGCAGCCCUACACGCCAGGCAAUACCUGAGCUCUUCUGAAUACGUCACCGGUUCCCAAAGUGCCCUCUGGGACCUGGGGAGUCAAGAUGCUUUUCUUCCAGGUUAAAACUCUGAUUUGCUUUUCUUACUCUCCUUCUGUGACUACGGUAGGUGGAAUUUUCCAGAGGCUUCAUGAUGUCAUCCCUCGGAUGGCCGAUAGUGUGUGUAAAUUUGUGUGUUCUUGUGUUUUAAGUUUUUCCUAGUUUAAAUUUUUAAUAUGGUAGAUAUAGCUCCAUAAAACAAAAAGUCUUUGGACAUUGCCAAUAAUUUUUCAGAGUGUUAAAGGGUCCUGAAAAAAGUUUGAUAAUUGCCUGUAUUCCCUACUUCACAGGAUCCCCCCAACAACCCUGAAGGUUGGGCGUCGCCACUCUCAGCUCCUGGGUGACCAAAUCAAGGGUGAGGGUGACUAAGCACUUGUCGGUUUACACAGCUGGUAGCGGAUGGUGCCAUUCCAGACGAAUCCAGACUCCAACAUCUCAACCUCAAGGUUUAUGUUCCAGCCACAGUUUGUAUCCUUGAAUCCACCCUUGCUCUCUCCCAGCGAGCUGUGCGUCUCUCCCUGCUGCUGGGUCUGUUUUACUUGGAAUAUAUCCCUAGGGUCUAACAUGGUGCCUAGCACUUAGCAGUUGCUCAGUAAGUUACCUAGUUCAUGAACAAAAGGGCUCUGCCUGCUAAGGCUCCCUGACCUCUUGUCUUUGGGAGGCUAAAAGGUUCUGGCCACUGGGGGUUGUCUGUGUCCCCCACCAGUCCUGCUCAGCUUCUGCCUUUCAAUUAUUGAACUGGACAAUCUCUUGGAUAGCCUGGACUUUGUUUCCAGUGAGAUUUAAAUGUUGAUUAAUGGUUUAGAAAUAAUUUUUAAAUAUUUAUUUAUUUUUUUUUUAGUUUCCAGUGGACACAACAUCUUUGUUUUUGUAUGUGGUGCUGAGGAUCGAGCCCGGGCCGCACGCAUGCCAGGCAAGCGCGCUACCACUUGAACCACAUCGCCAGCCCCUGAUUAAUGGUUUAAAUAGUAUACUCCCCUACUAGUACUGGGUUGGUCCAGUGUGGUCCUGUCUUGCCCUGAAUUUUUUUUUUUAAAAAAAGUUCUCUACAUAUGGAGUCAUGAAGCUUUAGGAUGUUAGAAAAGGAAGACUCUUAAGAUUGAUCCAGGGGCUGAGGCAGUGGCUCAGUGGUAGAUCACUUGCCCAACAUGUGUGAAGCACUGGGUUCGAUUCUCUGCACCACCUUUAAAUAAAUAAAAUAAAGGUCCAUUGACAACUAAAAAAUAUUUUUAAAAAAUUGAUCCAGUUGGGAAGGAGUACCUCACAAAUCAGCACAAUUUUUAUGUGACAGUUAAAGAAAAUUAAAAAUAAAGCAUAUUUGAGACAGGAAGGAGGGAGGGAGAGAAAGAGGCAGGGGAAAAAGAAAGGGAAGGGAAUGACGUCCUCAAAGCCCCAGGUGGGGUCAGCUGAGCCCCCUGGCUUUGUUGCACCCUGGGUUACAAGACGGCAGUUCCAGGGGCUAUUUUGCUCUCCGCUGCCCUGUGUCAGCAUGUCUUGUCUGAGGAGCCCCUCCCCCACAGGACUUGGUCCCUGUCUACUUUUUGGACCCAGAUUGCCCCUAAGCAGAGGUGGGUGCAGAGUGUCUGUCCUACAUCACAUUUGCCAGAAUCCUGAGCACUGCAUUGACUCUGGGUCGUUUCUCAGGAGAGAUUCUAACGUGUGUUUAGGAAGGACCUGAACGCAGAGUCCAGAGUCAAGUGGGCCUCCGAGGCAGCUGUGAGAACGUGGGGAGCCACUUCCCUUCUCUGAGUCUCCGUUUCCUCUUUUGAAACAUGGGGCAGGGUCCAGGACCGCACACCUCUCAGAGGUGCAAUGAAGAUCACACAAGGUGCUUUGCAGACGUAUCCCUAAGACAGGUAAUGCUCAACCUCGGGGCAGAAUGGACAACUGUAUUUUUAAAAAUCCAAACGAUUGCUUUGGUUGCGCUUUGUAAAUCCAGAUCUGCAAGCACCAACACUUACUUCUAAAUCGGUGGCCUUGGGUCACAGGUGUCACAUGAUGAACACCCACCCCCAGACUGUAUGAAUUAUACUAUUGGUGACUGCACUUACAGCCAUGCAUUCCCCGGCACAGAGCCCUGCCAGGUGUGGGCACAGGCCGAUGAGUGAUGGCCACGCCUGGAGUAUACAGAAGAGGAGCCGAGGUGAAGUCUGGGAGGUGACCUUUCCUGUCAGCGCCAGAGACAGAGUUUCCAAAUCAUGAUACCAUGGGUUACUUGUCACCUACAAUAUAGUAUCACUAAAAGACCCCAGAGGACCUCUCUAUUAUGGGACAUCAUGUGAUCAAAUAUCUCAUUAAGGGACCCUUGGAGAUUUUACUGGAACAAUAACUAGGCUCACUGUUAGCAAGAUGGUAUCAGUAAAGCCACAAAGUGCUUCAGGAGCCACCAAAGGUAGGAUUCCUUAUCUACAGUCUGAUUUUUUGUUGGGACAUUGGCAAUCUUUAGAGUCCAGGCAUUGACCAAUCCUUCCUAACCCAGGUGCCUUGUGCGUGUGAUGGCUUGUGCCUUUCCAAAGCUCUAGUUGGCCUGCUCAGUUGACCUCACUGACCCCUGGGAAGCCAAGUUGUCAUGAGAUCGGAUGCAGAGAUAAAAUGUCUAUCUGGGUCACUCGGCUGUGUUUUCCAGGCAUCUCCUUGUCCCCUUGGGGCUGCAAGGAGGCGGUGGAGGUGGAGGAGACUGAGGCAGGCGGAGGGCCCCGGCAUGUGCGUGGGGGUGGGCGCUGUCCUGUCUCCCAUCUUUCCCAGGAAGGCAGGGCCCAGCCAGUUGUGGUGGCCACAGGGUGGGGCCAGUCCUGAUGUAGUGGGCUUAGUGGUCAGCCGGCCCCUGUCUGCCUGCCCUUUUGCAGGUUGGAACUCUUUGUCCUAAAGAUCCUGGAGAUCAGGCGAGGAGGGGAUUGCAGCUGCCACAGUUGCCACCUGAGGCUCUGGCAGGCUGCAGGCCACCUACAGCAGAAGGAGCAGCCCCACACUAGGUGGUUACAGUUGGCAGAGGGCAGGGUCGGGGACAGGCCUCCCGCUGACUCUCUGCCUGGCACCUCUCUCUGCAGCUUAAGGCUUAUUUUCCUACCCUGAGGAGUAACCCUGGGAUUGGGCUUCUGAAGCCACUUUCCUGCAUCCACAUCCCACGGUUCAUGGGGAUGCCUGGUUCCUGCUGUCAGAGCAAAGUGCUGUGUCAGCUCCCUGAGUCCCUCCCUGGACACUGAGGACCACUUCACUUCCUGGCCCAGGUGGGGUCAGCUGAGCCCCCUGACUUUGUUGCACCCUGGGUUACAAGACGGCAGUCCCAGGGGCUAUUUUGCUCUCCACUGCCCUCCUUCCCCAGUCACUCACCGGGCCACUCACCGGCAGAGGAUUGGAACAGGCAGAGCAGCACCAGCAGCACCCCUCUCAUCUCUGCCAUCCCCAGAGAGGACCACAGCGGACACCAUGGGCAACUGGGGAGACAGGAGAUUCAGCGACUGCACAUCCCGGCAAACACACCCGGGGUCUUCCUCACCCCCCACAAAGGGAUUCACACAGUGACACUCAGAGACGUUGAGAAGCCAGCCCAAGGUCACACAUCUCCCAAGCUGUGGACCUGAAAUUUGAUCUCAGGACCGCCUGAAUCCAGGCUCCCGGGUUCUUCCUGUCAUUCCACAUCUCCAGGCCAGCACCCUUGCUUCAAGCAAUGCAUGAUGCCCUAAGAAACCCGGGUACACCGUUCUAAGUCACCUUGUUCUCCUCAUGACACCGGAUGUUCCUGGUCCUCAGGAUGGUCUUCAGAGUUCUUCCAUGAACUGCUCUCACUAAAGAAGAAAUGAAUUCACUCUGGCGGCCUUACACAGCAGAGCUCAACAGAGGAGUUUGUUCUACUACCUCGGGAAGAAUGUUCCAUUGUGGCAUCGUGGUUACCAUGGUGCCUCCAAGCAAACGUCUGGAUGUGGGAACUCAGGAAGACCUAGGAAGACAAGCUUCUGGACAUCUAACCUCGUCCGGCGCUGCCCAGGUCUGGCUGGGGAGACAUCUCUUGCGAGAUCACAGAGUUCUCACUGGUGGUAGCCUGGGUCUGUCUUUGCCCCCAGUACCCACCCUGUAGCUACCCAAGUCUGUCAGACUGCUGGACUGAGGAAGCCCACAAAUGGGGUAGGUUGGAGGUUUCCAGUUCCUUCGGCAUCCUAUAUCCAGUCAGCCCAGUUUCCUUUAGCUCAGUGGGGGCUCAAGCCAAGCAGUAGACCUGCUGGGCUAAGACAUGGGGCCAGCUGGAAUCUGUGCUUCAGCCAUUUAUGAGCAACUUUGGUUUCAGCACAAAUGCCAGGACUCGAGGAAAGUGUCGACAGCAUGGGGAUAAGAUUUAACCUGGGGAGCCACAGAGGCUCACAAGCACCUGGCACCAGCAUUCAGAAGAUGUUCUGUAUGGGUACUGAUGCAUGGAGGGAGACAAAAUGGCGGGAUGGGAAGGGAAGCCCCAGUCAGAAAGGGGCUGCUGUCUCCUGGCCCUGGUGGUCCUCUGGAUGCCCUGCACACCUGCACCUUUGAUUGUUGAACCCAAGGUACUUUAUCACCAGCCUUUUUUUUUUUUUUAAUUUUAAUUUUGAGACAGGGUCUCACUAAGUUGCUUAGGGCUUUGCUAAAUUGCUAAGGCUGGCCUUGAACUUGUGAUCCUUCUGCCCUAGCCUCCUAAAUCACUGGGAUUAUAGACGUGCACCACCAUGCCUGGCACCAAUUUCUCACCAUUAAAUUCUAUACACCACUAAACUUACAACAGAAAUGCUAGAAAAUGUUAUUAUCAUCUUGUACUUACUGAAAGUUUCCUCUUCUCUCUUUCUCCUGCUCCUGAGAGAGAAUGCAUUUCUUAUUCCAUUUCUCCUUAAUAGGUUUAUCUACAUGAUGUAAUGCCUAAACUCUGUAUUAAGCACAUGUGCAAGAGUUUCUCCCGGGUAAAGUCCCCCAUAUCAGUUAGAACCCUUGGCAUCUUAUUUAAGAAACCCUUUAGUAGCUGAACAUUUGAGAGAUCAGUUCCACUUUGUCUUCUCAAAACUUUAUAGUCUCCACAGUAAGUCCUCUGUCUGGAUUUUUUUUUUUUUGAGGUGCACAGUGUGGAUCCAUU